GUAACGGAGGCACGCAAAGGUUCCCUCAGGCUGAUUGGAAACCAGCCGUUGAGUGCAAACGCAUAAGGGAGCUUGACUGCAAGAGAGACAUUUCGAGCAGAUACGAAAGUAGGUGUUAGUGAUCCGGUGGUCCCGCAUGGAAGGGCCAUCGCUCAUUGGAUAAAAGGUACGCCGGGGAUAACAGGCUGAUCGCAUCCAAGAGUUCACAUCGACGAUGCGGUUUGGCACCUCGAUGUCGGCUCAUCACAUCCUGGGGCUGAAGCAGGUCCCAAGGGUACGGCUGUUCGCCGUUUAAAGUGGUACGCGAGCUGGGUUUAAAACGUCGUGAGACAGUUUGGUCCCUAUCUUCUGUGGGCGUAGGAGAAUUGAGAGGGCCUGUCCCUAGUACGAGAGGACCGGGAUGGACGCACCCCUGGUGGAUCUGUUGUCGCGCCAGCGGCACAGCAGAGUAGCUAUGUGCGGAAGGGAUAACCGCUGAAAGCAUCUAAGCGGGAAGCCUGCCUCAAGAUAAGUUCUCCCUGACGCAAGUCCUGAAGGGCCGUGGUAGACCACCACGUUGAUAGGCUGGAGGUGGAAGCCCCGUGAGGGGUGGAGCUGACCAGUACUAAUAGCCCGUGAGACUUGUCCC
rnacentral:rRNA from 1 species